rnacentral:rRNA from 1 species
AGUGAACGCUGGCGGUAGGCCUAACACAUGCAAGUCGAACGGCAGCACAGUAAGAGCUUGCUCUUACGGGUGGCGAGUGGCGGACGGGUGAGGAAUACAUCGGAAUCUACUUUUUUGUGGGGGAUAACGUAGGGAAACUUACGCUAAUACCGCAUACGACCUACGGGUGAGAGCAGGGGAUCUUCGGACCUUGCGCGAUUGAAUGAGCCGAUGUCGGAUUAGCUAGUUGGCGGGGUAAAGGCCCACCAAGGCGACGAUCCGUAGCUGGUCUGAGAGGAUGAUCAGCCACACUGGAACUGAGACACGGUCCAGACUCCUACGGGAGGCAGCAGUGGGGAAUAUUGGACAAUGGGCGCAAGCCUGAUCCAGCCAUACCGCGUGGGUGAAGAAGGCAUUCGGGUUGUAAAGCCCUUUUGUUGGGAAAGAAAAGCAGCAGGUUAAUACCCCGCUGUUCUGACGGUACCCAAAGAAUAAGCACCGGCUAACUUCGUG